GUAGUGCCGUCUGCAAACUUAAUGAUUGGGUUGGAGGCGUGCAUGGCCACGCAGUCGUGGGUGAACAGGGAGUACAGGAGAGGGCUGAGCACGCAGCCUUGUGUGUGCUCCAUUUGAUUUCUAUUUCUCAGGUGAGGGUGCUGUUUAAGUAACGGUGUGAUGUCUAUACAAAAACAAAGCAGGCUAUUUUAAGCCACCCAUAUUGAAAAAAAAAUGAACAAUUAGACACCCUAUAUCCCACACCUACACACUCAUAUAUCAAUCUGAUUGAUGGAUUGUGUUGUGCAGUAAGCAGGCUCAGGUGUAUAACUGUGGCUCCUUCUACCUUCAAAGAAUAGGCAAGAGGGCCAACCAGGGAGAAUAGUAAGACACUUAAUUAUUUCUAUAACUAUGCUAUAUUGUUUGUCGUCGUGUGUCUGUGCAUGUUUUUCAAUAUAAAAUACUCUGCAGCCACUUAGUGUGGACACCAGGUGAGGCCACACGCAUAGAUUCCUGUUGAACACUGUCUCUUUAACUACCUUAUUUUCUCAUUAAUAAUCUCUUUCACUUCAUCCCUCUCGCCCCUUUUCCCUAAAUCCUCUAGGUUAUAUCAGCUGUGUCGGUGAACCCCUCCGGCAUCUGAACUGUCUACAUAGAGGGCACAGCAUCAAAGGUAUGUUUUGAUGUGAGAGAGGAUACCAACCCCCAGUCCCGUCAUUGCCACCUCACCCGCUCUUAAGAUAACCUUUGGGCCGACUGGGAGCCCAGGACUGGUUAGGAGACACCACUAGAGACACUAUUAUGUAAUUGUGUUGAACUGAGAUAAUAUUAGGUCUCACUGUGAUUCAUUAAUCAUAAGCUGCCUUCCCUGCUCUUCUUACCUCUUUCCCUUUGUCUUUUACACCUCCCUCGCCACCUCUUUCUUCCUGUUUUUAUAAUGCACAACAGAUGUGCAUUGGAGUACAGAUUGAACUUGUAUUUAUAAUAUUAUAAUAUUUAUAUAUUUAUAUUUUGCUACAUAUGACCAAAUCAAGGUGGUUGGUUACAUAUAAACAACAGCCUAAAUGUAGGCUAAUAUUUCUGGGGGGCAAUGAAGAGACUCGGUUUCUUGCCACCAGGGCCCUUUCCCCCAAGCGUUUCCAUGGCAAUUCCAUUAUUUUGGUCGCGUUUGAUUUUAUGUUUAACGGCUGACUAGUAUAUUUGUUGUUUACUGUUUACACUUGGCUAAGAACUAGCCUACUAUUAAAUACAUAAUCUUUUUUUUUAUAGGUUCCCAUUUCAUGAAAAGCCCAGGCUGCAGCAGUAGGUAGAAAAUGUCAGGUAGAUUCAUUGGAAACCAACACAACACUCUCGUCCCUGUGCCCAUCACUUUGAAUAUGAGUGUUUUCAGCAUGAUGACAAGGGAAAUGUCCACCUCACCCCGACUGCGGUGCCCAUCAUUUUCUCCUUCCCUGAUCGUCAUCAAAAGUGGACACAAUGCCCCAGGGAAAGAUGAAGAAAUACGGUAGAUACAGAGUUGGUGUCCAACUUUGGGGAUCCUUUCUGGCGGCUUCUUCAGCACAUGACCAAGCCAGGACAAUGUUCUUACAGCACUUCCUCCUAUUGUCACGACUUCCGGCUCCUUUCCCUGUUCGGGCGGCUCGGUGGUCGUGGUCACCGGUCUACUAGCUGCCACCAAUCCCUUUUUCUUUUCUGU